UAAUGAUAUGACUGAGUGGCGAACGGGUGAGUAACACGUGAGCAACCUGCCUUUCAGUGGGGGACAACAUUUGGAAACGACUGCUAAUACCGCAUGACACAUUGGGGUCGCAUGGCCUUGAUGUCAAAGAUUUAUCGCUGAAAGAUGGCCUCGCGUCUGAUUAGCUAGUUGGUGAGGUAACGGCCCACCAAGCCGACGAUCGGUAGCCGACCUGAGAGGGUGAUCGGCCACAUUGGAACUGAGAUACGGUCCAGACUCC
rnacentral:rRNA from 1 species